rfam:Buceros rhinoceros silvestris contig118486, whole genome shotgun sequence.
ACUCCCGUUCUUGGCAGGCCCCGGCCGUCCCGUGCCCAGGUCUGUGAUGUCUGGAGGUAGAGCAGCGACUCUUUCACGGGCACACCCUUGCCGUGGGGAAAGAG